UUUCCGAGAGUCGCCUCCCCCUCCAGGGGCUGAUGCAAACUGAUUCCCGACCGAGCCGGGGGAGAGGGGGGUUGGGGGGGUGAAGGCCUCUCGCCCGGCCUCAGCUUCUGUCGAAGAAAAUGGCCUCCCCGCCGACGUUGGUGUCCUUACUUCUGACCGGGAAUAUUUCCUGAGUUGGGUGGGACAGGGGAGUCCGGGAUAGCCAGUGAGCCUGUUUGCUAGGAAGGGGUUCGAAGUUAGUAAUGAGUAUAAAUGAUCGAUCCCGGCUGUCCGACAAGGAAGGGCGGAUCAUCCACAGAGGCCUUUCCUCAUCAGGGCUCCCGGCAAGACUGGGAGCGAAGCGGAGCCAGAGGCCACCCCAGGGAGGAGGAGGCCUUGCCCUGACAUGGAGGUUGCUCAUGGACUGUGCGGAGAGGCUAUCAAACCACAGUGAGCCAACAAGGCAAGUGAAUGCAAUCCGACAGGAGCUUGUGAGCCAAGCUGCUUGGAUGCUGGCAAUUGUGGACAGGUGUCAUGGAGGAGGCGACUUCUUGGCUGGCUCUGAAGGACAAAGAGUUUUCAGGCAAAGUGACAUGAAGGAGAGCAUUGGUUGAAGAACAGGCAAAGAAAGGACUUGUCUGGGAACUCAAGAGUGGUGCGUGGGGCAGUGGAGGGUGCAUGUUGGAGCAAUGGGGAUGGGCAUGUCCAGCGCCGACCACCUGAGUCAGGCGAGGCAAGUAGGAGUGCUCCUGGGCCCUGGGGUUUUGAAAAUGACUAUCCCAGCUUGUUUUUCCAUGGACUUCCAAGAACUCGGGUUUAUCUGAAAA